GACCGUCGUUGCUCCUACAAUAUGCUCCAUCAUAGCAUUAAAAAAUCCUAGAGUGACCGCAGCUCCACUCCCUUGCCUCGGACCCACCUAUGCUAGUGGAAGUCUCAGAGCCACCUAUGGUCCGUGCUGGUGGAAGUCUCCUCACAAGUCUUUGGGUUCUCUCUGCAUUAUAUCACUAUCGUAGCAUCUAUCUUCGAUGCAUACACCUCUAGGCCCUCUCCUGGUGCCCGCUCACUGCUGCCCAAGCACCUGGUAGACUCCCCUCCCUUUGCACCUCCUCGCC
rnacentral:lncRNA from 1 species